AGUGAACGCUGGCGGUAGGCCUAACACAUGCAAGUCGAACGGCAGCACAGGAGAGCUUGCUCUCUGGGUGGCGAGUGGCGGACGGGUGAGGAAUACAUCGGAAUCUGCCCAGUCGUGGGGGAUAACGUAGGGAAACUUACGCUAAUACCGCAUACGACCUUCGGGUGAAAGAGGGGGAUCGCAAGACCUCUCGCGAUUGGAUGAGCCGAUGUCGGAUUAGCUAGUUGGCGGGGUAAUGGCCCACCAAGGCGACGAUCCGUAGCUGGUCUGAGAGGAUGAUCAGCCACACUGGAACUGAGACACGGUCCAGACCCCUACGGGAGGCAGCAGUGGGGAAUAUUGGACAAUGGGCGCAAGCCUGAUCCAGCCAUACCGCGUGGGUGAAGAAGGCCUUCGGGCUGUAAAGCCCUUUUGUUGGGAAAGAAAUCUUUCAGGCUAAUACCCUGGGAGGAUGACGGUACCCAAAGAAUAAGCACCGGCUAACUUCGUG
rnacentral:rRNA from 1 species